CCUACGGGGGGCUGCAGUCGAGAAUCAUUCACAAUGGGCGAAAGCCUGAUGGUGUGACGCCGCGUGGAGGAUGAAGGUCUUCGGAUUGUAAACUCCUGUCAUGUGAGAGUAAGAACCAGGGAGUAACUGCCUGUGGUUUUGAGAGUAUCACAAGAGGAAGAGGCGGCUAACUCUGUGCCAGCAGCCGCGGUAAUACAGAGGCCUCAAGCGUUGUUCGGAAUCACUGGGCGUAAAGGGUGCGUAGGCGGCGCGGAAAGUCAGGGGUGAAAUCCCGGAGCUCAACUCCGGAACUGCCUUUGAUACUCCCGCGCUUGAGAACUGGAGGGGACAUCGGAAUUCACGGUGGAGCAGUGAAAUGCGUGGAUAUCGUGAGGAACACUAGUGGCGAAGGCGGAUGUCUGGACAGUAUCUGACGCUGAGGCACGAAGGCCAGGGGAGCGAACGGGAUUAGAUACCCAUGUAGUC
rnacentral:rRNA from 1 species